UACGGAAGGCAGCAGUGGGGAAUAUUGCACAAUGGGCGAAAGCCUGAUGCAGCUAUGCCGCGUGUAUGAAGAAGGCCUUAGGGUUGUAAAUACUUUCAUCGGGGAGGAAAAAACAAAACUAAUAAUUUUAUUUCUUGACGUUACCCGAAAAAGAAGCACCGGCUAACUCCGUGCCAGCAGCCGCGGUAAUACGGAGGGUGCUAGCGUUAAUCAGAAUUACUGGGCGUAAAGAGCACGUAGGUGGUUUUUUAAGUCAGAUGUGAAAUCCCUGGGCUUAACCUAGGAACUGCAUUUUGAAACUGAAAUACUAGAGUAUCGUAGAGGGAGGUAGAAUUCUAGGUGUAGCGGUGAAAUGCGUAGAUAUCUGGAGGAAUACCUGUGGCGAAAGCGGCCUCCUAAACGAAUACUGACACUGAGAUGCGAAAGCGUGGGGAGCAAACAGGAUUAGAUACC
rnacentral:rRNA from 1 species